AGACGGUGCUGUCAGACGCCCUCGGGGUCAAAGGUGAGGUACGGAAGGAGCGCCGGCUGUUUCUUAUUGGUCAGACAAGAGUUCACCUGGACACAGUGGAGGGACUGGGACACUACAUGGAACUGGAGGUGGUGAUGCGACCGCAGCAGACGGUUGAGGAGGGACAACAGGUGGCUGAGGGUCUGAUGGAGCAGCUCGGCGUUUCACAGGAGAGUCUGGUGACCGGAGCGUACGUGGAUCUGUUACUGAAGGGACCAAGAGAGACGUAAAACAACACACACAGGAACCGUAUUUAGACCAAACAAUACAAUGGUCAUUACUGUAACUACACUAAUAGUGGCUCUGCUGUCGUAUCUUUAGAGUCGUUAGUCUUUGUUUCCCAUCGUCUCAGACUGGGAACAAGUUUGUUAGCUCAAAGCAGCAGGAGGAUGUUUUUCUUUCUAAAUAAAUGAGCUGAGUGUUGAAACAAA